rnacentral:rRNA from 1 species
CAGCCGCCACGGUAAUACGUAGGUGGCAAGCGUUGUCCGGAAUUAUUGGGCGUAAAGGGCUCGCAGGCGGUUUCUUAAGUCUGAUGUGAAAGCCCCCGGCUCAACCGGGGAGGGUCAUUGGAAACUGGGAAACUUGAGUGCAGAAGAGGAGAGUGGAAUUCCACGUGUAGCGGUGAAAUGAGUAGAGAUGUGGAGGAACACCAGUGGCGAAGGCGACUCUCUGGUCUGUAACUGACGCUGAGGAGCGAAAGCGUGGGGAGCGAACAGGAUUAGAUACCCGGGUAGUCCCUGUCUCUUAUAC